CCUACGGGAGGCAGCAGUGAGGAAUAUUGGUCAAUGGGCGCGAGCCUGAACCAGCCAAGUAGCGUGAAGGAUGACGGCCCUACGGGUUGUAAACCUCUUUUAUCAGGGAGUAAAGUGAGGCACGUGUGCCUUUUUGUAUGUACCUUAUGAAUAAGGAUCGGCUAACUCCGUGCCAGCAGCCGCGGUAAUACGUAGGAUCCGAACGUUAUCCUGAUUUGUUUGGUUUAAAGGAUGCGUAGAGGGGUUGUUAAGUCAAUUGUGAACGUUGGUGGCUCAACCCUAGAAUUGCAAUUGAUACUGGCAGCCGUGAGUUCGGUAGAGGUAUGCGGAAUUCGUGGUGUAGCGGUGAAAUGCUUAGAUAUCACGAAGAACUCCGAUUGCGAAGGCAGCUUACUAGA
rnacentral:rRNA from 1 species